rnacentral:lncRNA from 1 species
GCACUUUCCCACAUUAUUCGCUGGGGAUAACAUUCCUGACCUUGUGAUGAAGGCAACUCUGUUUAACAACAGAUAAUUUUUUGCUAAACAAACGAACCUUAAGUUCUAAAAUUACAUAUUGUUCGCUUCAAAAAACUUCCCUCCUAAUUUCUAUGGACUCUUCCAGUCCUACCAAGAGUAAACCAUCUUCUUCAUCACCCUCACUCCUACAUAGCUAUUAUGGCUCCUCCAGGCUCCUUCCACCAAGCACAAGUUUCUUGCUAGAAAUUCCAUAUAGAAACGCUGUAGUCAUGUUUCCUUGAAGCAACUCUUCUCAUACUUCCGUCUUUUAGCUUGCUCUCUUUUAAAACUUUUGAGUUCAGAUUUUCUUCAAUCUAAAUAACAAACCAAUCUUUGACCUUCACAAUUCACAUUGUCAUCUCCCAUCACAAACAUUGCCAAACAAUCUCCCUCAUUUGCAACAUCCUACCACGGCUUUAUUUUUUUUUUUUUAAAUAUAUAGUAUCUCCAAGUCCCAUUUGGUGAACUCUGCUGCGUUGACCUGCGAAUGGCUGCAAUAGGCGUUCAUUCAGUCUUCAAUGCCCUGAUCAAUUAUUAGAGUAAUUCUUGUUUGUGAGACCGAUAAUCAAACUUUUCCAGAAAACUCAUACAACCACGAGUUCGGAGUAAAAUCUGGUUCAUAUCUUUGCGAUGUAAGUAUUAAAGAAAACUCAGAAAUGACUGUCGCUUGUCCUCCUUUCUUUUUUCCUCUUUUCCAUUUCUAUACUACUUUUCUUUUAAAAUUUGCAAAGCCAUAUCAGAUUGGUCAUAAUCUGACACUAGUUUUGUGCUAAAACCCAUCAUAAAUCCUCUCAGACUUUAAAUUUAAUUCAUCUAUAUAUUUAUAAGUUAGGCGCGUUAAAAUUUCCAUGAUUAUGAAAGAUCAAUCCUG